UACCUGGUUGAUCCUGCCAGUAGUCAUAUGCUUGUCUCAAAGAUUAAGCCAUGCAAGUCUAAGUACGAGCUCUCGUACAGUGAAACUGCGAAUGGCUCAUUAAAUCAGUUAUGGUUCAUUUGAUCGUACAGUUUACUUGGAUAACUGUGGUAAUUCUAGAGCUAAUACAUGCGAGAAGCGCCGACCUCGCGGGAGGCGUGCAUUUAUCAGACCAAAAACCGGCCGCGUCUUCGGGCGCGUUCGCCUUGGUGACUCUGGAUAACUUUGCGGAUCGCACGGUCUAGCACCGGCGACGGAUCAUUCAAGUGUCUGCCCUAUCAACUUUCGUCGGUACAAUAUU
rnacentral:ncRNA from 1 species